rfam:Triticum urartu cultivar G1812 contig226754, whole genome shotgun sequence.
CAAAUACUCCCUUCGUCCGGAAAUACUUGUCAUCAAAAUGGAUAAAAGGAAAUGUAUCUAGACGUAUUUUAGUUUUAGAUACAUCUCUUUUUAUCCAUUUUGAUGACAAGUAUUUUCGGACGGAGGGAGUAGAAA